CCCGAGCCCUCCUUCCCCGAUCUCCCCUCUCUUCCCUACUCUCUGUCUCUCUUGCGGACAAACCGACGCCGGCGGAAAUCUCCAUCCGGGGGCGUCCACAUCGCAUCGCCGGAGGACCACGUCGUCGGAGCUCGACGAAGCCGGCAGAGUCCAGUAUAUCUUUGGUCCCGUGACUGCUGUUCCGGUGAGUUUUGUGUCGAUCGUCGACAGCGAGUGGCAGCGGCGAUCUUACCAUAGACACCACCAAUCCGUGCCCUAGCUGUGAACGCGAAGGUCCAUCGCCGGUGCUUUGCCUUUGGAUCGUUGCUUUGUGAGAGCAGAUCGCUGAUCAAGAAGGGAGGUCUUAGCCCUAGCCUCGACCUUUCCUCUGCAUCGCCGGCUUGGAUCUACUGUCUUGGGUUCUAGCUUCCAUUUCGCACACGGUUGUGCUGUUCUGGUGGUGGACAGCAGCUUGAUCCGGGCAGAGAGGAGGCUCUGUUCCUUUUGAUUGAGUGCUGUGGAUUAAUAUGCAUGGCUGAGAGCUAGAGGUACUAUCUUGUGGAUGUGAUCUUAGGUUCCCAGCAGCAUUUCUAGUUUCAACAGCAACAACAACUGGAAUCGAGGACUCUGAUUCGAGACGAGCAUCUCGACAUUGGAUUAGGACUGGAUUGUAUCUUCUAUUUGAGGCGGGUACCCUUUGACUUAUCUUUUCGAUAUUGUCUUAUGAUAUGUAUAGUUUAUAUAUGAUUACUAGUGAUUGGUAGAUUAUCACUUCCCCGGUUAUAGUUUAUUUGAUAUCUGUAGGCGGUUAUUAGUGAUUGGUAGUUUAUCAUUUCCCCUGGAUGUAGUUUAGUUGAUACCUGAUACAUGCUUCUAUUGAUAACUGUUAUACAUUAGUUUGACAUGCUUUUCUUUCUGGCUAUGUUUAUCUGUGUUCAUAGAGAUAGAUGUUUUUAUUGUGCUUCCCUCUGUACUGGAUUAGAUGAUAGAUAUGUUGGAUAUGUGAUAUUGGAUUCAUGCUGAUUAUUAUCCUUGAUAUAUAUGUGUUUAUCUUUUUGGCACCUACACAUAUGGAGGAUAUGUCCAGGUAUGACAUACUGUAGCCGCAUGCACCAUUUUGCAUGAUUGCAUGCUGGGCGAUUGACGAC